rnacentral:rRNA from 1 species
AUACGUAGGGGGCGAGCGUUGUCCGGAAUGAUUGGGCGUAAAGGGCGCGUAGGCGGCCCGGUAAGUCUGAAGUGAAAGUCCUGUUUUUAAGAUGGGAAUUGCUUUGGAUACUGUCGGGCUUGAGUGCAGGAGAGGUAAGUGGAAUUCCCAGUGUAGCGGUGAAAUGCGUAGAGAUUGGGAGGAACACCAGUGGCGAAGGCGACUUACUGGACUGUAACUGACGCUGAGGCGCGAAAGUGUGGGGAGCAAACAGGAUUAGAUACCCUGGUAGUCCACACUGUAAACGAUGAAUGCUAGGUGUAGGGGGUAUCGACCCCUUCUGUGCCGCAGUAAACACAAUAAGCAUUCCGCCUGGGGAGUACGGCCGCAAGGUUGAAACUCAAAUGAAUUGACGGGG